rnacentral:rRNA from 1 species
GACGAACGCUGGCGGCGCGCUUAACACAUGCAAGUCGAGCGAAGCGGCGGACGGGUGAGUAACACGUGAGUAACCUGCCUUAGACAUUGGGAUAGCCUCGGGAAACCGGGAUUAAUACCAAAUGGUCUAAGAUGGACUCGCGUCCCAUUAGCUAGUUGGUGGGUAACGGCCCACCAAGGCGACGAUGGGUGGCCGGGCUGAGAUGGUGAACGGCCACAUAGGAACUGAGAAACGUGCCAAACUCUACGGGAGGCAGCAGUGGGGAAUAUGGCCCAAUGUGCGAAAGCCUGAUGCAGCGACGCCGCGUGGGGGAUGAAGGCUUUCGGGUUGUAAACCUCUUCGCUAUCGAACACUAUAGGGUGGGUUGAGGGUAGGUGGAGAAGAAGCGCCGGCUAACUACGUGCCAGCCGCCGCGGUAAUAC